UAUCAUUUUCAGUAGUACUCAAGGUGAGACAGACCAGUUUGAGAAUGCUGGAAGCUCCACCAGACUUCACUGCACCAGGAUGAACAGCAAUGGAGCAUUGUUCUGGGAAUUCAGAAUUCAGGGAGCUGAACCAGAGAUCAGUGCUAUUGAUGCUGGCACUGCCAAGGUCCUCAAUUCUGCAAAAGAUAAACUGGGUAAUAAAUGGGAGGCCCUUGAUCUCACAUAUAAACAAGAGCAGUGUGCAACUAGGUUAAAUGAAGCUGUGAGCUGAGGACGUUUCCAGCAGGAAAAAACACCACCAUUAGCAUAGCUUUUCACUGGAUACUCUGCAGUUUUAGAGGUUUGACAAUAUUGCAUUCAGAGGCAUGACAACAUGAAUUUAGUAUGUUGAUGAUCCUGCGUCUUGGUUGGCUCUGCUCAACAGAUGAAGCAGCAGUGUCCAUUCUUUC